AACGCACAUUGCGCCCUUUGGCAUUCCGAAGGGCAUGCCUGUUCGAGCGUCAUUAUCCUCUCUCAAACCUCCGGGUUUGGUGUUGGACCACGUCGGACCCCCUCGCGGUCGACGGGUCUCAAAGACAAUGACGGCGUCCGUGGGACCCUCUUCGCACUGAGCUUUCCGGAGCACGCGUCGAGUUGCAAGGUCCCGGGGACCCGGCCUCAACUAUAAAUUUUUUUCAGGUUGACCUCGGAUCAGGUAGGAAUACCCGCUGAACUUAA
rnacentral:misc_RNA from 1 species